GACGAACGCUGGCGGCGUGCUUGACACAUGCAAGUCGAACGAGUGGCGAAAGGGUGAGUAACACGUGAGUAACCCUCCCUCUUUUUGGGAUAAGCCUUGUGAACGGGGUCUAUUACCGGACAAUGGGGGAAGGGCUCGCGGCCUAUCAGCUUGUUGGUGGGGUGAUGGCCUACCAAGGCGGUGACGGGUAGCCGGCCGGAGAGGGUGAACGGCGACAUUGGGACUGAGAUACGGCGCAGACUCGGAAGGGAGGCAGAAGUGGGGGAUAUUGCGCAAGGGGAGAAAGCCUGAUGCAACGACGCGGAGUGGGGGAUGAAGGCGUGCGGGUUGUAAACCUCGUUCGAGAGGGAACGGGUGGGUGGAGAAGAAGCGCCGGCUAACUACGUGCCAGCAGCCGCGGUAAUUC
rnacentral:rRNA from 1 species